AGAGAAAGAAGUGCGGGUCUUUGGGCCACCUCCAUCCGUGUCUAUUAUACCCUGUUGCUUCGGUCGGACCGCCGCUUGUCGGCCGCCGGGGGGGCGCCUUUGCAGCCGGGCCCGUGCCCGCCGGAGACCCCACACGAACACUGUCUGAAGCGUGCAGUCUGAGUUGAUUGAUGCAUCAGUUAUUAUUUCACACGCGAUCUCUGGUUUCGGGAUCAAUGAAGAACCCACCGAAAUGCGUAACUAUGUGAUUGGCAGAAUUCAGUGAAUCAUCGAGUCUUUGAACGCACAUUGCGCCCUGGUAUUCGGGGGGAUGCCUGUUCGAGCGUCAUUGCUGCCUCAGCCCGGUGGGUGUGGGGCGCCUCCCCUCUCCGGGGACUGUCCGAAAGAGCGCGGACCCGUCCAACCUCGAGGGAUGGGCUUGUCCAGUCCUUAGAUGGCGGGCCUGCCACUUUCCACAUUUUUCCAGGUGACCCGGAUAGGAGGACUGCUAAUUAGAAGGAUGGGGCCUGGACCACGGUCAUAACUUUUGGGCCGUUGGCGGGGUCUCUCUUUUUCUCGGCAACAGUAAGGUGGGGGUGACAUAACUCCCCCCACACACAAUUGA
rnacentral:rRNA from 1 species